GGUCAGAUGAUGUCCAGGGAUAAAACGGGUUCAUCUAUGCAGGAGUAGAUACUGAUUUCAGACCUCACUGCACCAGGGCUGCUGCAACAUCAGCAGCAAGGGUUGUUUACGUUCCGUUGGAUCACAUCCUAACAGCUGGAGCAUGGUAAAAAAUGAAUAGGUUUGUUUUUUCCAAACAUUUAUAAUAACCUAAUGCCAGACCAAAGGUUGGCAACUCUAUUUACAUACUUUAUUUAUAGAACCACCCGGGAGGUGUUACUAUGAUUAUUACUUCAUUAACAGCAUCAGCAUGUUUUAAAUUAAUGUCAUGACUGUAUGCAUUAUGAAGGCUUACCCUCAUUGUCAUAAAGCAGUUGUGGUUGUGUAGACUCGUUUCUCACGGCAUGAAAAUCAGAGAGCUUUGAAAUCUUCACGUAGUCACUCACGUGACUCCGAAGUAAAAUAGUAAGAUUAAACAAGCUUACCAGUUUGAAGUUUGAUCUUUAUUUUAUGAGGAGGUACGAUGAGGGACUACGUGAAGAAGACCCCGUCCGUGCGCAUGCGCAUCAAUCUUCAAAGCAGCGGUGUGAAAUCACAGACAAUAAUUACUGAAGCAUAAUAGUAAGAUACGUGAGACAAACAUAACUUCCAGCUGAUCUUUAUGAGGGUGGGAGCAGAGGGCCCGUAGUCCCUCAUCGUAAGAUGAUGUAAUUAUCUCAUUAAAUGCCAUCCUUACCACACUCUUUACUUGUGAUCCCACUUUUAAGUUGCUGUAGUAGACCCCAAAAUCCCCCUACACGUCAAUAUUGUUGAGAAUCCGGACAUUAACUAUAUACUUUCCCCUUACAUUAGACCUUCCAAAGUGCAACUCCUUUCAUUUGCUCCAAUCAAACACCAUCUCCCAUUUCUCAUUCCAUUUCUGAGGCUGAUCUGUAUCCUGUUGUAUACUUUCACAACCUUCUUCACUGACCGUAACUUCACCAAUUUUGGGGUUGUCAACGAACUUACAAACCAACAGUUCUACAUUUACGCGCUGUGCUGGAUGAACUCAACACGUAUAUGCUGCAUUUAUGGAGGGAAUGUUUCAGGUUGGGAUUGGAGCAAGGGAAUUAAGGUAUUUACACUCAAGAAAAGACCAAGUAAUAAUUCCUGCAGCACACCACUGGUCAGAGUCCUCCAAUCUGUAAAGGGAAGGGACAUGACAUUGACACAGGUGGAGGAGAGCAUAGAUUUCAGAGGGCCAGAAGAGUGGAGGAGGUUACAGAAAUGGUGAGGGCAAAGAAGGGAUUUGAACACGAGGAUGGCAUUGUUAAACCUGAGGCAGGGACUGGUGGAGUAAGGUACAAACACACACUCACUGUUCACUCACCGACAAUCAAGA